UAAAUAUUGAAGCACUUUGCUUUGUCCAGAUUAGUUUUCAUCUCUUCGCCAUCAUGAUAAGAUUUAUUUGUGUUUUGUUGGUGCUAAUUGCGGUCUCUACGAGUGCACAACGCCCUUAUGGAGAAGUAUCAAUUAAAGGAAACGCUGCAUUUUGGGAAAGGAUCUUGGAAUAUAUAUUUGGACUGUUUCUUGGACAUUUCGAUGAUUACGAUUAUUACAAAGAACGGCAAAACAUUAUCGAUUCUCCCGACGAACAACCUCGACCUUCGACUCAAAACGAUUUUCCUGAAAUUUUUACAAAACCUGAAAAUGAUGAAUUUCUCGUUUUUGAAAAUGAUCUUCCCUUGAAAACACAACAAGUUCAAAAUACGGCUGAACAAAUCUACUCGAUUUUAGACCUUUUCCCAAAAAUUCAUCAACCAGGACGUGGAAAAAUUCCAAAUAAUCAAAUUGUGUUUUUUUGAAAACAAUCUUCCUGUGGACACGCUAGGACCACUACCAAGAUUCGAUGGCAAAUUUUCGAUCCUAAACUUAUUUCCUGACAUUCUUAGAUUAAUUAAUCCCGAGAAAACUGUAAAUCAUCAACUUGCUCCUGCUAUUGAACUUGAUGAAAAUCCAAAACAAAGCGAAGAACCUGAAGAGAAUUUAACAAAUAGUGAUACAAAUGAUGUUUUGUAUGAUGAUACUGCGAACGAUUCUGAAGUCAAUGAUAACGACGAAUCGGGUCCGGAAUUAAAUGAUGUUAAAGCAAAUGAUGAAACCGAAGCUGCGAACGCGACUUAAGAUGAACCAAAAUAUUGGAAUUUAACGAUUUGAGUAAAUCUUUAUUAUACGAAAAGGGAAACAGACGAGCAACUGAUGUACGAAUACUUUAAUUUGCUUCUUGCAAAUUCUUAAAAUUUCUAAUUUUGUUCAACAUUUUUAAAGAUAUUCGAAUUAAACUGACUUGGUAAUGGUAAUUUUUA